UGCCAGCAGCCGCGGUAAUACAGAGGGUGCAAGCGUUAAUCGGAAUUACUGGGCGUAAAGCGUGCGUAGGUGGUUUGUUAAGUCAGAUGUGAAAGCCCUGGGCUCAACCUGGGAACUGCAUUUGAAACUGGCAAACUAGAGUAUGGUAGAGGGAAGUGGAAUUUCCGGUGUAGCGGUGAAAUGCGUAGAUAUCGGAAGGAACACCAGUGGCGAAGGCGGCUUCCCGGACCGAUAUUGACACUGAGGUGCGAAAGCGUGGGGAGCAAACAGGAUUAGAUA
rnacentral:rRNA from 1 species